rnacentral:rRNA from 1 species
GGGUCAGUAGGUUGGUCGUGCCACCGGUACGUACUGGUCUCACUGAUUCCUCCUUCCUGAAGAACCGUAAUGCCAUUAAUUUGGUGUUGCGGGGAAACAGGACUGUUACUUUGAAAAAAUUAGAGUGUUUAAAGCAAGCUAACGCUUGAAUACAUUAGCAUGGAGUAAUGAAAUAGGACGAUCGAUCCUAUUUUAUUGGUUUCUAGGAUUGACGUA